UUAACGAUAAUAACCUUGAGAUGGCUCUGCAGUUUCAACAUAUUUCAUCUGUUUUUACAACAAACUACCAAUUUCUGAUUUACAUUAUGAAUGGGCAAACUUUGCACGUAGUACAAUUUGUCUCAAUUUGUGUUUGGCCAUUGACUUCCAUACACAUUUUUUUUUCAUGAAGAACUACAGAAGGGAUGGAACAUCAGCGUCUUCCAUCGAAAAAUAGCAUCAAUAAGACCAAGAAAUAAUUUGGUCUCACUACUUGUCUGGCAUAGCUGGACUUGUACAAGUGAUAAUGGAUGUAAUGGACACCUUCAUCAUUCUGGAAUAGGGGUCAAACUUCUGUGGGUUGUUUGGUGGGUUCUAAGCUGCCGACUGUGGGAUUCUGCUACAGUUAAUUCGCAAAAUAAUGUUGGAAGAUACGCUUUUUGGUGGAACAUGUAUAAGAGAAAGCCUUAUUCUGGCAGAGUAAAUCCAGCCAGAUGAGGUCGUACCAGCACUUUAUAAACCUUGGUGGGAACGCUGGGAAAGACGAUCCCAAAUCCGUCACAUGCAUUACAUUAACAUUCCUUAAUCAGAAUUUAUUUGAAAAAAAAAAUGUUUCCAUUUCUCAUUAUGCACAUUAACUCCAUUUUAAAAAGGAGUAUUUAUUUUAUUGUUUUCAGC